rnacentral:tRNA from 1 species
ACUUAGGUAGUUUAAAAAAAAAUUUUGAUUUGUGGUGUCAGUGAUAUGAAGUAUUUCAUCCCAGGUC